GCUGUGCUGCCCUCUGGGGCUUCUGUCUCUGAAGGUUCCUGAAAAGAUGGGUCUGCCACAUCCCACAUUUCAUCAGAAGGGCCCUUUACUCCAGAACCAACAGAUGAUCGCCUUGAGUCCUUUUCUUUCAACAGUAAUUCUUCUGAAAAUUUUGAACUGAACUCUUUCUUUUGUCCUUCUCACCUUCAUACAUUAAAUUUUGGUUGGAAACUUUCUGCUUUGUGAUUUCAGAGGUCAACACUUCAUGCCUUGCUCUCUGCACGAAUUCCCCAACAAACUGCAUGGAUGACUCCUCUUGACGAUGAGCUGCACCCAAAGCAUCUUCUGGGGCUAAAAGUUUUGAAGGCUCCCCAUAAAUCUCACCCUUCCUAUCUCUGUCAUAUAGCUCCUGCUGUGAAGUUGGAGUUCUCUCUCCUGAAUUGUUAUUAAAAGCACUCAAGCUGCUUUCAGAAGUUUCUGUGGCUUCUUGGGUUGCUAUUCCACUAGUUGGAUCAACACACAAUGAACCUCGAGCUACCACCUGAGGAGAAGGGGGCAUCAUUAUUGCCUGAGAACUUCUGUAGUCCCCCUCCACAUCAAUCUGUUGCAUUCUUGCUUGGGAAACCAUAUUACGGAAUGCUUGAGAACUAGAGGCCUCUUGUGAAGUUUUUUCUUGAAAACUUGAUAUUUCAGAGGUCAUGUGGGCUUUGUUUCUUGAUUUGAUUUGACUGAUUCUUUCAUCGGUUUGAUCAUCUCUUUCUCUGGUUUGCUGAGUGGGUUUCAAAACUGAUGUAAAUUCACUUCCUUGAUCAAUUAUUCUGUUUUUUGAAGUUAUCUGAGAAUCAUUAACUCUUUCUAUAUCACUAGCAUGAACUAAUGAUACAUUAGUG
rnacentral:misc_RNA from 1 species